rnacentral:rRNA from 1 species
UACGGAGGAUGCAAGCGUUAUCCGGAAUGAUUGGGCGUAAAGCGUCCGCAGGCGGCUAUGUAAGUCUGCUGUUAAAGAGUGAGGCUCAACCUCAUAAGAGCAGUGGAAACUACAUGGCUAGAGUGCGUUCGGGGCAGAGGGAAUUCCUGGUGUAGCGGUGAAAUGCGUAGAGAUCAGGAAGAACACCGGUGGCGAAAGCGCUCUGCUAGGCCGCAACUGACACUCAUGGACGAAAGCUAGGGGAGCGAAUGGG